UGGAAAGAGCGCAAGCCUCCGGAGCUUGAGGUCCGAGAGUUCGAAUCUCUCCAGGCGCGCCA
rnacentral:tRNA from 1 species